UGCCGGAUGGUGAAAUGGCAUCACUCUGCACUCUGAAUGCAGUAUUCUAGGUUCGAAUCCUAGUCCGGCAA
rnacentral:tRNA from 1 species